rnacentral:rRNA from 1 species
CUACGGGUGGCAGCAGUGGGGAAUAUUGGACAAUGGGCGAAAGCCCGAUCCAGCCAUGCCGCGUGUGUGAAGAAGGCCUUCGGGUUGUAAAGCACUUUCAGUGGGGAAGAAAGCCUUGGGGCUAAUACCCUCGAGGAAGGACAUCACCCACAGAAGAAGCACCGGCUAACUCCGUGCCAGCAGCCGCGGUAAUACGGAGGGUGCGAGCGUUAAUCGGAAUUACUGGGCGUAAAGCGCGCGUAGGCGGUCUGAUAAGCCGGUUGUGAAAGCCCCGGGCUCAACCUGGGAACGGCAUCCGGAACUGUCAGGCUAGAGUGCAGGAGAGGAAGGUAGAAUUCCCGGUGUAGCGGUGAAAUGCGUAGAGAUCGGGAGGAAUACCAGUGGCGAAGGCGGCCUUCUGGACUGACACUGACGCUGAGGUGCGAAAGCGUGGGUAGCAAACAGGAUUAGAUACCCGAGUAGUC